GCUAAGAAAAACACCCUGUAUACAUUUUCCCCCAGUGUGUACUGCAGCUUGCAAUAUGAAGAUACAAGCACAGGUUCAGCAAGCAGCCAGCUGCCACAAGCACCACUGGCAGUUGCCUCCAACUGCAGGCCAUGGCUUCGACGAGUCACCUGCUCAUGACUCCUCCCUGGAUAUGAUGCCUCCAUCACCACCUGAAGACCAAGCAGCUGAUGGGG